CUGAUCCUAAGUACUAAGCGAAGAGUCGGGGCGGCGGCGUGGAACUGUUGACGGGAGUCCGGUGGCGGCGGGGUCGUGGCGGAGAUGUGCGCGGCGAGAGAAGGGCGCUGGGGCCGAAGGCAGCGAGCGCUGCUGUGCUGCGUGUUGGUGGCGGCGUGGGAGGCGGCGUGGGGACAGCUGCGCUACUCGGUGCCCGAGGAGCUGCCCAAGGGCUC